GAUGAACGCUGGCGGCGUGCCUAAUGCAUGCAAGUCGAGCGAACAGACGAGGAGCUUGCUCCUCUGACGUUAGCGGCGGACGGGUGAGUAACACGUGGAUAACCUACCUAUAAGACUGGGAUAACUUCGGGAAACCGGAGCUAAUACCGGAUAAUAUAUUGAACCGCAUGGUUCAAUAGUGAAAGACGGUUUUGCUGUCACUUAUAGAUGGAUCCGCGCCGCAUUAGCUAGUUGGUAAGGUAACGGCUUACCAAGGCAACGAUGCGUAGCCGACCUGAGAGGGUGAUCGGUCACACUGGAACUGAGACACGGUCCAGACUCCUACGGGAGGCAGCAGUAGGGAAUCUUCCGCAAAGGGCGAAAGCCUGACGGAGCAACGCCGCGUGAGUGAUGAAGGUCUUCGGAUCGUAAAACUCUGUUAUUAGGGAAGAACAAAUGUGUAAGUAACUAUGCACGUCUUGACGGUACCUAAUCAGAAAGCCACGGCUAACUACGUG
rnacentral:rRNA from 1 species